CGUCUGGAAAGGCGCGCGAUACAGGGUGACAGCCCCGUACACAAAAGCGCAUGUGCUGUGAGCUCGAUGAGUAGGGCGGGACACGUGGUAUCCUGUCUGAAUAUGGGGGGACCAUCCUCCAAGGCUAAAUACUCCUGACUGACCGAUAGUGAACCAGUACCGUGAGGGAAAGGCGAAAAGAACCCCGGCGAGGGGAGUGAAAAAGAACCUGAAACCGUGUACGUACAAGCAGUGGGAGCACCCUUUGGGUGUGACUGCGUACCUUUUGUAUAAUGGGUCAGCGACUUAUAUUCUGUAGCAAGGUUAACCGAAUAGGGGAGCCGGAGGGAAACCGAGUCUUAACCGGGCGUUAAGUUGCAGGGUAUAGACCCGAAACCCGGUGAUCUAGCCAUGGGCAGGUUGAAGGUUGGGUAACACUAACUGGAGGACCGAACCGACUAAUGUUGAAAAAUUAGCGGAUGACCUGUGGCUGGGGGUGAAAGGCCAAUCAAACCGGGAGAUAGCUGGUUCUCCCCGAAAGCUAUUUAGGUAGCGCCUCGUGAAUUCAUCUCCGGGGGUAGAGCACUGUUUCGGCUAGGGGGCCAUCCCGGCUUACCAACCCGAUGCAAACUGCGAAUACCGGAGAAUGUUAUCACGGGAGACACACGGCGGGUGCUAACGUCCGUCGUGAAGAGGGAAACAACCCAGACCGCCAGCUAAGGUCCCAAAGUCAUGGUUAAGUGGGAAACGAUGUGGGAAGGCCCAGACAGCCAGGAUGUUGGCUUAGAAGCAGCCAUCAUUUAAAGAAAGCGUAAUAGCUCACUGGUCGAGUCGGCCUGCGCGGAAGAUGUAACGGGGCUAAACCAUGCACCGAAGCUGCGGCAGCGACACUGUGUGUUGUUGGGUAGGGGAGCGUUCUGUAAGCCUGUGAAGGUGUGUCGUGAGGCAUGCUGGAGGUAUCAGAAGUGCGAAUGCUGACAUAAGUAACGAUAAAGCGGGUGAAAAGCCCGCUCGCCGGAAGACCAAGGGUUCCUGUCCAACGUUAAUCGGGGCAGGGUGAGUCGACCCCUAAGGCGAGGCCGAAAGGCGUAGUCGAUGGGAAACGGGUUAAUAUUCCCGUACUUGGUGUUACUGCGAAGGGGGGACGGAGAAGGCUAUGUUGGCCGGGCGACGGUUGUCCCGGUU
rnacentral:rRNA from 1 species